UAUAUUUCAGUGGAUGAACACUAAAGAUUUUGAUUCUUUAAAAUUUAAUUAAAUAUUAAAAAAUAUAA
rnacentral:tRNA from 1 species